rnacentral:rRNA from 1 species
GACGAACGCUGGCGGCGUGCUUAACACAUGCAAGUCGAACGAUGAACCCGGAGCUUGCUCCGGGGGAUUAGUGGCGAACGGGUGAGUAACACGUGAGUAACCUGCCCUGGACCCUGGGAUAAGCGUUGGAAACGACGUCUAAUACCGGAUAGGACCUUGGAUCGCAUGAUCUGGGGUGGAAAGUUUUUUCGGUCUGGGAUGGACUCGCGGCCUAUCAGCUUGUUGGUGAGGUAAUGGCUCACCAAGGCGUCGACGGGUAGCCGGCCUGAGAGGGUGACCGGCCACACUGGGACUGAGACACGGCCCAGACUCCUACGGGAGGCAGCAGUGGGGAAUAUUGCACAAUGGGCGAAAGCCUGAUGCAGCAACGCCGCGUGCGGGAUGACGGCCUUCGGGUUGUAAACCGCUUUUAGUAGGGAAGAAGGGCUUCGGCUUGACGGUACCUGCAGAAAAAGGACCGGCUAACUACGUG